GUGCCAAUUCAGCAGCAUAUACACUAAAAGGGAAAGGACACAAAGAUUUCAUGGCUCCUGUACAAGGGCGUCACAUAAAUUCGUGAAGCGUUCCAUAUUUGC
rnacentral:snRNA from 1 species